GUAAGCGUUGGCCUUACCAUUGGUGCGGCUUUUAUAGGAUUUGUGGCUGGAAUAAUCGUUUGUUUGAUUGGCUUAUGUAUUUUGAAACGACUAUUUGUGAAAAAUGAAAAUGAAAUGGUCGCCCCGGGUUUGUUUCCAACAAGAAACAUCACUGAAGGUGUUACUAAUGCAGCUGUAC